rnacentral:rRNA from 1 species
CCUACGGGGGGCAGCAGUAGGGAAUUUUCGGCAAUGGGGGGAACCCUGACCGAGCAACGCCGCGUGAACGAAGAAGUUAUUCGUAAUGUAAAGUUCUUUUAACAGGGAAGAAAGAGAAAUUUGACGGUACCUGUAGAAUAAGCCCCGGCUAACUACGUGCCAGCAGCCGCGGUAAUACGUAGGGAGCGAGCGUUAUCCGGAAUUAUUGGCCGUAAAGGGUGCGUAGAUGGCAUAGUAAGGCUUUGGUAAAAAGGCUGGGGUCAACCGAGUAGGGCAAAAGAUACUGGAAAGCUAGAGUAUGACAGAGGCAAGUGGAACUACAUGUGUAGCGGUAAAAUGCGUAGAUAUAUGUAAGAACACCAGUGGCGAAGGCGGCUUGCUGGGUCGAUACUGACAUUGAGGCACGAAAGCGUGGGGAGCAAACAGGAUUAGAUACCCGAGUAGUC